UAGCAGUGAUGACUCCUUAGGACACCUUUGGAUAAAUGAUGAAAACAACCCGGUUUAACACCUGAGCUAA